CCAGUACCACCUCCUUGAAAGGGGCUCAGUCCUUCUUCACCUUUGCUUGGAAAAACCAGUUUCUCUCUUUUAUUGUCUGUUACCAACUUCUUUUCUAAAAGUUCAAUGGAACCCCACCAUACGCCAAACUCUUUCUCUCCCGGCUACUUUUAUUCCCCUCUGCUCCAAUUCUACUUUCCUCUGCUUUCUUGUUCUUUUGUAUUAAAGGGAAAACAGGUAUUCAGGACUGGCCCCACCUUCCGCAGGGACCAUUUCUGUUCUGCAUAGGUCUGCUGAACUGGACACUUUAUACACUCAAAGUACACCGUGUCUACGAAGGUACAGACACUCAUACUUACAGUACUUUUACAGACACUGCCAUCUCUGGAGUAUCCACCCUGGAGGCUAAGGACCCCAUGUGAGGGUGAGACUCAGCACACCCCGAUUGAGGACAUGAAGAAUCUGGUGGACCGCACAUGUUGGGAGGCCAGGACCGACAUACGGAGCUCAGUUACACACGCAGGCGGAUACAGGCAAAGGGAGAGGAUGACCAGCAUCCCAAGCAGAUAAAUGCAGAGAAGGUUCCACAUGGCCUUGUCUGGAGCAGCGGCUUCAAGGAUUUCAGUGGAGUGAAGCUCAGGAGGCGUGGAGCUGGCACCGGGGCCACAGCCACAACCACAGCAGCAGCGAGAGUAGCUCUGACUUAGAAAAAGAAGGGCCCGGUGAGGGACGCGGUAGAUGAAGGACACAUCUGGAGCACGCAGCCUGCUGCAGAGGGGCUGGGGCACUGGGGAUGUGCAGGCUGGACAAAGCACCACACAUGGAAGCCACGUGUUCUUCCUUUACUAAAACUGGUGCUAUGGAAAUGUGCGUGUUCUGUAACAUACAAAAAUUAAAAGUUGUCUGUCUGCUGGAAA